UCAUUAUUGAAUAAACUUGAACAGGCUGUUGCUGGUCCCUUGGGGUAUGUGCACGCCUGUCUCAUCUUUGUUAUUUCUCCAACUUGUGCACCUUUUGUAGACUCUGGAGCUUUGUGGAUUUUCUGAAAAUCCGAGUCCGGGACUGCUGUGCUUUGUUAUGAAGUCGGCUUUGCCUUGCAUCUCCAGGUCUAUGUCAUUUUUCACAACCUCUUUAAACAUGUUAAGAAUGUCGGAUAAAAAAAAUGAAAUAUACAACUUUCAGCAACGGAUCUCUUGGCUCUCGCAUCGAUGAAGAACGCAGCGAAAUGCGAUAAGUAAUGUGAAUUGCAGAAUUCAGUGAAUCAUCGAAUCUUUGAACGCAUCUUGCGCUCCUUGGUAUUCCGAGGAGCAUGCCUGUUUGAGUGUCAUUUAACUUCUCAACCACAUCAGAUAUUUUUGGUGUUGGCUUGGAUGUGGGGGUUGUUUGCAGGCUUCUGUAAGAGAAGGUCGGCUCCCCUAAAAUGUAUUAGUGGUAUCUGNAGGCUAUUGCUAUUAGGUGUGAUAAUUAUCUAUGCCUUUGGUAUGCUGCAUGAACAGAUUACACUGCUUUCUAACAAAAACAACUUUGAUGAAUUUGACCUC
rnacentral:rRNA from 1 species